rnacentral:rRNA from 1 species
UACAGAGGUCUCAAGCGUUGUUCGGAUUCAUUGGGCGUAAAGGGCGCGUAGGUGGCCCGGUCAGUUCGUGGUGAAAGCGCGGGGCUCAACUCCGCGUCGGCCAUGAAUACUGCUGGGCUGGAGCACUGUAGAGGCAGGCGGAAUUCCGGGUGUAGCGGUGGAAUGCGUAGAGAUCCGGAAGAACACCGGUGGCGAAGGCGGCCUGCUGGGCAGUAGCUGACACUGAGGCGCGACAGCGUGGGGAGCAAACAGG